UCCAUAUGCUGGAGAGCAUGCAUGCUAUUUUUCAUUUAAUGGAAACACUGAAGAAAUUAAAAAGGAGCUGAACUCAUGAAAAUAAUUUUACUCUAAGGUCUUCAGGUUGGAAAACGGAACGUCUUCUAUCGCUUUCUAUUAUGUGGAAGACAAAUUGGAUCUGUGGACCUUUGGAUGCAAAGAUUGACUAGGUAAUUUCUAGUCUAUCGCAUAAAAAAAUGGUGAUAAGAGGUGAAACUGGUACAACUUGCUAUGACACGAGGCCAUUGAUCGGAUCUUGGUGAAUUAGAGUAGAGAGAACAGUUAGGUGACAGAAUCUUAACAGAAGAACAUAACUACCAAUGAAGGGUCUAGUGAGAUUCUGGCAGGCUAAGGAUCUACCCCAAGCCUUUAGGCAAAAAGGGACCUUUUUUAUAACCAUUACAUUAUAUUUCUCAAGAAGUUGCAUACAACAUUGACCUUAAUUCUUACCAUUUUUUUUAGACAAAGGUUUCAACACCUCUAACAGAUAAAGCUUUACUUGCAACAUGCCUUGGAUGGUGUAAAUGAGUUCACCACCAGCUUUUAAUUAAGUUUCAAGCAUAGCAUGACAGUAGUCGUAUACUGAAGUUGGUUUUGCUCCAUUCAUUUGGAGCUGGAAUACAACUUGGAAAUUGGAUAUUACCUUGAUUCUGCUUUUGGACA